CAGCUAUCUCCCGCUCUGGACAGAACACCUUGAUGGCAGGAACUGUGUCUUAUUCACCUUGGUGCCACCCAUCCUGGCAGAGAGUGACUGGCAGAGGAUUCACUUGUUAAGCUGUAAUCACCAAACUAGUGAUGAACCCUGCUCACACUGCAGUGUUUGAAGCCACUGAGCCCAUCUUCAGGCUGCCUGUUCCACCUUCUGGACAUGGUCUUCCUAUCAUGCAUCUGGCUACCUCUGUUUGUGUACUGCUUCCUCCAAGAAGCCUUCCCUGACCAUUACCUUUUCCCCCACACAUCCCAGCCCAGGAGUGAGGUCUGUCACCCACAAUAUCCUAGCACCUAGUGGAGACACACAUUCGGAUGCUGAGAAAGCAGCGAUACAGUUGUCACCUUGUAUUGUCACUGUUGCUGCCUACCUGUCUAUCUCUACCAGGAUGCUUUGUGUGCCCUGAGCACAGAGACCAUGCCCCACCUAGCACAGCAUUUGACAAGAGGCAGAUGCAGAAGAAAUGCUAAAGAAUAAGGUAAAGGAAGUAUUUUAUCUAAAUAUGUAAGAAAGGUUUCUUUUCAUUUAAUCUUGCUUUUUAAUUCCACUUGGGGACUACAGAUGUGACAUGGAAACUUUAAAGGUGGGAAAGAACCUGGUAGCUGCAACAUCCUGGCUGGCUCAUUCUGAGUUAAGACAGAGAAAACAAGCAGAGGAGAAGCUGGCACAGCCAGAGGGAGAGCAGCUGUGCCCCCACAGCCAGCCCAGCGGUCUGUCAGAUAAGGGGCAAACGUCUUCAAAAGUCAGUUACAGGAUGGCCAUACAGUCCCAGGUACCACACCCAGAUGCGACAUAAUCCUGCAGAAGAAAAAGCUGGCUGCCCUGGUAUUUCAUUUGCCAGAAUUGAGUCACCUGAGUUACCUGGCCUGAGCAGUCCAACAGAUGUGGCAAGUGAAGUGUACAUUUUAGUUCAUUAGAAUUUCAUAAAAUCAGGAAACUCCUUGGCAGUCCAGUGGUUAGGACUCAGUGCUUUCAUUACUGAGGGCCCUGGUUCAAUCCCUGGUCAUCGGGGAACUAAGAUCCCACAAGCCACGCUGUGUGGCCAAAAAAAAAAAGAAAAAAAAAAGAAUUUGAUAAAUUCAAAAGUACAUCAAUCACACUAGACAUAUUUCCAUGAUCAGAGACACUUCUGUUGGGACUUCCCUGGUGAUCCAGUGGUUAAGAAUCUGCCUUCCAAUGCAGGGGACAUGGGUUCCAUCCCUGGUCAGGGAACUAAGAUCCCACAAGCUGUGGGGCAGCUAAGCCCAUGUGCCUCAACUACAGAGCCCAUGCACUCUGGAGCCCACACACCACAACUAGAGAGAAGCCCAUGUGCGCAACAAUGGAAGAUCCCAUGGGCUGCAACGAAGACCCAAUG